GGAUGAAGCUAACCCACAAUUCACCUUGUUCAUGGGGCCCUUAUUAUUAGAUCCGCCCCUGAUCAUUAUAACAGUCACACACACCCCUGGUCUAAAACUAGACAUGCAGCUGUCAUAAGACGCAGGAGUCCCUGUUGAGUUCAGCCAGUGGUUUCAAUAACUACAGGGGAAUCCUCAACUGGUGUGUGGUCAUGCUGGGGGGCUGAGCGGUAUGAUAUUCCAUUGAAGAGACGACUCAGCCACGACGGUGCAACAAUUUCCCCAGCAUUAUCUAUCAGCCUGCGCUACGAGCCAGUAGAGGGAGUCCAAGACUUGAGUCCUGCCUUUUGGGCCUCAAAAACUGAAGCUUUCUACGAGCUCUCCGUCUGAGCUGCGAGAGAAGCAGCUGAGGUCAGCGGCGGAGGAGUACGCCACGCUGAGAGGUGCGAUGUGGCUCUGUUGGUUUGACCCACACCUGCUGCGCAUCCUUCACUCAAGCACUGGAGGGUGAGU